UCGUACCUAUAUUCAUUUAGGUAUAGCGCCAAUUCCUUGUUGUUGUAGUAAAUAAUUGUUCGUAAAAAUAUGAAAACACGGUUUUCUAUUUUCUCUCGCGAUUUCUGGUUAUAAAUUCCGGUUAUCAGACGACCGGAGAUCACGCGAAGAUGGAUCUAAUGCAUUUGAUACUUGUGCUACGGGUGGAAACUUUGCAGUGGCAAUGAAAUUGUUCGCAAUUUUGUUUUGAGGUUUCAGUUUCGGGUGAAAACCGGGUUUCGGUUUUCGAUUCGUAUCCGGGACCAAAUUUUUGCCAGAUACCCCGGGUUCCAAAACCGAGUUAUAUCCUGUUUUGACUCCAUGAUUUAAACAAUAUACAACGUUAGCGUCAAGUUUUAAUCUCAGAAGAUAGAACAACAUCUCAACGAGCUCUUAUGCGACAACUAAGAUCUGAACUGUCAAGAAAAAGAAAUCACGAAGGAAAAACUGGAUUAUCAAAUACAACAAAGAACAGUGACGCCCAACUUUUCUUUUGCGGUUUUUGGUAAACAAUUAUCUUCAAGCGGGCCACCAAAUAUAAAACUCUUCAGGAUUUUGAUCAGAGUGACU
rnacentral:lncRNA from 1 species